rnacentral:lncRNA from 1 species
CAGUUUUUAUAUUGAGAAGUGUCAAAUAAAUGAAUGUACUUACUUACCGUUUCUUCUUUGCUGCGCAGGCUACACAGAGAAGUAGCACAAGCUGGUGAGGGAAACCGCUGGACUUGCACAAAAUGGAAUAUAACGUUGCGGAUGAAGUUUGGAAUGACACGAUUGCAUGUGUACAACAUCUAAAGACCUGCAUCACGAUACUGAGAGCGUGUUUCUAAAAGCACAUAUUUGGGUGUUUUUGGAUAUGCUUUUUGGAUGCCCGCACACUGCACAACGAGCAAGUCUAUCACGUAAAAGUGAGAUCUACAAGGAGCAAAUGAGGGCCCAAAUAUCUAGCGAAGUUAUUUCACACAGGAAAAUAAAUAUUGUUGUCGUAUCUUAGAUCAAGCACUAAAACACAUUUCUAAUCGGCAUGUAGUCUGUGCUGUUUGGUUAGCCAUCAAGAAAUCUGCUCAAGUAAAUGCUUUCAUUUAAUGUCACAACGCCAUUCCAUAUCCCAAACUGAACUUGAAUUAAAACAAGUAAAUGAGAAACCAUGCCUCUUCAACAGAUGGUGGAACACUAAAUGAGAAGGCACAUAAUCAUGUAAUCAUCCUAACAUUACUGAUGCACUGACUACAUGGUCACAAAACAAUAACAAUUCUAAGAUUGCUUACUUCUGUAAAGUACAAUUAUGAUAUAGUUUAUGAUGAAAGUGUAAAAUAUGAUUACAUUUCAGUUAAACAAUACCUAAAACAAUUAGAUUAGCAAUUUUAAACCAAAGUUUAAAACUAAGUCCUGAUCAAGAGAGCUGUUCCAUCAUAUUAUAUCCAUAAUGUAAAUACCUUUCACAGCCAAGAUGCAACAUUCACCCACCAAAAACCCUUGAGGGAACAUCCCAACUGAACUGCAAAGCAUAAAUCACUUAAACUGAAUACCUACAUGUUGUAUUCAUGAAUAUUCCUAGAACAUAGAGUUGUGUAUGGCAGUCACUUUGACAAUCCACCUAUUUUCUCCAUGAGGAACAGAAUGUGCUCUUCCAGUUGAUCAAUCUGUGAAAGAGAAGGGGGUUCAAAACAUGUUGGUUCUACACUUUGGGCAGAAGAUGGUCCUUAACACUAGAACCGCCGGGGCAUACUAAUCCAGGCCAAUGUCGCACCCUUGUCGUGUCUAUUUUAACAGUCUAAUAAAUCAAUUUAAUAUACACCAUCACAAAGAAACUCAUCAUUUCGUUUAGGCAGGUCUUAAAAAACAAAGUAUUUCAAAAGAACAGCAUAUUUAAAGUUAUGUAACAAGUCUGUGCUUAGGCUAUAUGCUGCCACGGCUGCUCACGUGUGUAACGCAUGAAAGAGAGGUUAUUCUACAAAAAAAGUGAUCAAAAAGAACCCUUGAGUUGUUUGGCAAACGUAGGUGUUUCAGAAACCAUAGAAUCUGCUCUUUUUUUUUUGUGGUGAAGUCUUCAAUUUUUUGUCAAUUACACUGUUCAGUCUCUUCAUUCACAAUUGAUAAUAUUGUCAACCACCAGAAUAUUGUCUAUUUAAUCUUGCCAUUAUGCUACUUAUUAUUUUUUGUGUGGAAUUAGUUUUGAUAUAGUUCAGGUGUACUUUCAAUGGGCAUUAUGAGAUGGGCAACUAACUGUUGAGUGUCCUCGUAAAACUGCUUAUAACAAACUCUGCGGUAUUGAAAUUCUCACAACGUAAGUCUGUGAAAGACUUAUUUAGGAAAAGUCAAGGACGGUGGGGGACAUGACUAAAAAUGACAGCGAUAUUACAAUUGUUAAAUCACGACGCUCAAAAGACCAUGUUCAAAAGACGUUGGCUGUUCUAGUGUUUUAAUUAAGGUUCAAUGAAUGAGAUUUCACAGAAUCAAAUCAAUGGAUAGCCAGUGCACAAAAAAUACAUUUUACUGUACAGGUGCAUCAACGCUGGGACUGAGAGACAGAAACUGAAUGUCACCACUAGCCUUAAUCACUGUUCUAGCCCGGCUACCACUCGGUACGCUACCCUUCCCCCUAGAGACUACUGCCCUAUGUACAUUGUUAAAUAACUAUGGUUCAUCCUAUACAACUACUGCUGUACACAGCUUUUCUAUUCAUAUACUGGUCAUACUGUCUUACACUAUUACAGUCGUGGCCAAAAGUUUUGAGAAUGACAAAUAUUAAUUUUCAUAAAGUCUGCUGCCUCAGUGUCUUGAUAUUUUUGUCAGAUGUUAUUAUGGAAUACUGAAGUAUAAUUACAAGCAUUUCAUAAGUGUCAAAGGCUUUUAAUUGACAAUUACAUGAAGUUGAUGCAAAAUAGUCAAUAUUUGCAGUGUUGACCCUUCUUUUUCAAGACCUCUGCAAUCUGCCCUGGCAUGCUGUCAAUUAACUUCUGGGCUGAUGGCAGCCCAUUCUUGUAUAAAUCAAUGCUUGGAGUUUGUAAGAAUUUGUGGGUUCUUGUUUGUCCACCCACCUCUUGA